UAGGGAAUCUUCCACAAUGGACGAAAGUCUGAUGGAGCAACGCCGCGUGAGUGAAGAAGGGUUUCGGCUCGUAAAACUCUGUUGUUAAAGAAGAACAUAUCUGAGAGUAACUGUUCAGGUAUUGACGGUGUUUAACCAGAAAGCCACGGCUAACUACGCGCCAG
rnacentral:rRNA from 1 species